rnacentral:rRNA from 1 species
ACCCGCACAAGCGGUGGAUGAUGUGGUUUAAUUCGAUGCAACGCGAAAAACCUUACCCACCUUUGACAUGUACGGAAUCCUUUAGAGAUAGAGGAGUGCUCGAAAGAGAGCCGUAACACAGGUGCUGCAUGGCUGUCGUCAGCUCGUGUCGUGAGAUGUUGGGUUAAGUCCCGCAACGAGCGCAACCCUUGUCAUUAGUUGCUACAUUUAGUUGGGCACUCUAAUGAGACUGCCGGUGACAAACCGGAGGAAGGUGGGGAUGACGUCAAGUCCUCAUGGCCCUUAUAGGUGGGGCUACACACGUCAUACAAUGGAUGGUACAAAGGGUCGCCAACCCGCGAGGGGGAGCCAAUCCCAUAAAGCCAUUCGUAGUCCGGAUCGCAGUCUGCAACUCGACUGCGUGAAGUCGGAAUCGCUAGUAAUCGUGGAUCAGAAUGUCACGGUGAAUACGUUCCCGGGUCUU